AAAGAUUGGACGCCAAAUGAUGAUUUGAAUUGGAAUGUUAUUUCUUUAUUAUUUUAUUCUAGAAUUUAAACAUUGGAUAUUCCUUGAGUGUUUGUAACUCACUCUGGACCUUGACUGUAAUAAACACGGACCGGGACUAGGACUGUGCAGGGCUUGGGGACAUCCAGCACCCAAAACACAGCCUCCGUUGCUUUCAGCUGGGGCAGACAGUUGCUGCCUUUUGCAAAUGAUGUGCAAAUUUCCCUGGCGCUGCAGAACAUAUCAACGCUCGCUUUAUAGUUUUAAAAGCAGAUUCUUCUUUCCAGAAGCCAAGGGAUCGUCUUAAAAUGCAAAAUAACGCCUUUAAACGGGCUGCUGUUGCUUAGAUUGCAAGGGUUCCAGGCUUCCCUAUCGUCCCACAAAUUAGGAUUUAUUUCUCAGGCCAUUUAAAGCUUCUUUGGGCAGAGAAGAAAAAUCCAGGAAAGAGGCUUUUCACUUCGGAAACUGGUGGUCCCUAUAAAUGGCACAGGCCUGUGCUUGGUCAUGCUGCUGUGAUGUUGCAUUCCUUCCUGCGCAGAAAGUAUUCAUGGCUGCCAUCUGAUAAAGCAAACCCACUUCAUCAUGGAUCACUUUGUUGUGACAGCGUGAAGCUGAUGGUCUCCAGAUCCUCUCGCAGACUUAUUUUAGCCAGCAACGUUUCCAGCAAAUGGUUAUAUCCGUCUCUUUUCUUUGCGGCCUCAUUAAAGGUGAAAUCUCCUCUGUGUAGGGUUCAUUUCUUAGGGCAGGGGUCCUCAGACUAUUCUGGGAGUUGAAGUCCACAAGUCGUAAAGUGGCCAUGUUUGAGCAUCCCUGUAUUAGGGCCUUGAGAGAAUCACCCAGGCUGUUUUUCUUGGCAACACUGCAGGAAGUCAUUAAAAAAAAAAAUCCUUUCUUCUAGGAUUUUAUUUUAUUUUAUUUUUUAAAUUGCCAUCGGACUUUAAGUCUUUCCAGUACAGGUAGUCCUCGGUUUAUGACUUCAACUGAGCACCAAUAUUACAGUUGCUGAGACAUUGGUUAAGUGGGUUUGGCCCCAUUUUACGACUUUUCUGGCCAUGCUUGUCAAAUGAAUCACUGCGGAUUGUUAAAUCAGCAACACAGUUGUUAAGGGAAUCCAGCUUCCCCAUUGGCUUUGCUUGUCAGAAAUUCGCAAAAGGGGAUCACUUGACCUUGAGACACAGCAGCGGUCAUAAAUAUGAACCAGUUUGCCAAGCCUCCGAGUAUAAAUCAGGCGGGGAAGCUGCAGCGGUCCCGAGUGUAAGAAACGGUCAUGUCAAUGUUUUCAGUGCAGUGGUAACUUCGAAGAGUGGCUAAGACCAAGACAAACAGGCUGAAAAAAUAGUUUUUCUCCCAGAGCUGUAACCAUAUUAAAUACAACUGUAUAGAGCAACACUGAAGUGCAAUAUUAGGGGCAGCGCAAUGGUUCGCCAUCAGCGGCCUGCAGACUUCACUCCACACUCCAGCGUCAAUGCUCACCAUCUGCAGCCAAGAACCCCUGAGGGAUGGAGAUUCGACAGGAAUGGAACAUUCAUUUUGCUUGGAAUGGAUUUAACUUGGUCAUUGUUGCAACCCGAGCUGAUCCUGGCUUGAGGGACCCCCCCCCCCUGAAGUGAUGCCUGCCAGUGGGCUUACCUAGAGAGGGUGGCAUUGCUUUGUCAGACUCCGAUGCUGCUAUUUUUUUCUAAUAGUCACCAAACUAUUCAAAGGCAAUGACUAAAAAAGAUAGAAGCAUUUCAUCGUAUGCUUAUGGACUACUCAAGGAAAGGAUUUCUGUUCUGGGGCCAAGACAAAGUGGCUUCACAAGUCAGCACCGGAGAAAAGUAAAUUUUGUACCAGGAACAACUGCCAUGUUCUACGUAAGCUGAGCAAACUACGGGACCGGGCAAAACAUACGGAGAGAUUUUCCUCCCAUGUGCCUUCCUAAAAAAUAAACAAGGGGCCCACUGCCAAUUCUUUCUCUGAGAAGAAGCCAAAGAUUCAAGCCUCUAAAACUGAGCAGACUUUCCCACCCAAGCCAGAGGCUGGGUUCACACGUUGCCCUGAGCUCCAGUUAGUUAACCAGGUUCACUGGCUCAACAACCAUUGCCUCGCUUUGCUUAGUGUAAGUAAACAGCAACAAAUCGCGCUGUAGCUUCUGUGCAGGGAGGGCAACCCACAGACUUAACUGAGCCCUGUGGCCGAUUUGAAGUAGUGUGUUGUCAAGUAGACUUUGUGAAUGAACCGGGGUUUGGUUUAGGUAGUGAAUACCACUGAAAAUCUGUGUUGUUUUUGCUUUUUGAUUGGAAGUGUGUCUCAGCGUGACAUAUCAGAGGAGCCAAGAGUUUUGGACUGUUUUAUUGAAUGGAGGAGGAGGAAGAGAAGAAGAAGGGACGAGGAGGAAGAGGAGGAGAAAGAGGAGAUGGAGGAGAAAGAAGAGGGAUGAGGCAAACUGGAGCCGAAGACAACUGCUGUGAAAUGUCUGGUCCAUGACACGGGAUCCGGCUUAUCUCAGCUUGCUGCCUCCGUCCUGCCCACCUGCCUCCACUUUCGGCAACCUGGAUGCUUUCCAGAGAGGUGCCUUGAUCUCCCAGAAUGCUCAGCGAUUCUCAGGCAUAUGUUUCCGUUCCGGCCUGCCGGCUCCAAAACCUUUCCCGCUGUAAAGCCUGGCAGGGUCGUCUCCGGGAUGUGGUCCAAAUACCCCAUCAAGAUAUGGUCAAGAUGGCAGCUACAUCGGUGUGAUGGAAGCUUCCUUCUCUCCUUCCUCCUCUUCCUCCUUCUUCUGCUUUGGGUGUUGAGGGAGAUGCAAAUUUCUGGUGCUUACUCUCCUGGCAGCCUCCAUCAUUGUUAACAGAUGCUGCUUUUGUAGUGUGUCUUUGAUGUUCUCUCUCCACCUUCUUCUGGAUCUGCCUCCUGUUCUUUGGCCUUCUCCUCUAUUUUUUUCAAUUCAAUUCAGAAUAGAGCUGGAAGAGACCUUGGAGGUCAUCUA